ensembl:lncRNA
CGUUCCUUGGAAAGGAGCUCUCUGUCUUUCUCACGUUGCUGCUCUGAUCACGGAGUUUCUCAUUGCAGCCUGCUGCCGUGGACGUGAUGGAGGGGCACACAUUGACCUGCCUUCAUUCUGUAUAUCCCCAAGAUGGAGAGAGCGUCGUUAUCGAGGCGUAUCUUUUGAAGCAGUGAAUAAGUAAAGAAAACCACGAGGUGGUAGAGCAGAACAUAGGGAAGGACGGCCCAUCUCCAAGCACCUGAGGCACGUCCUAUUGGUCUUGCUUUAAAGAGAGCCCGUUCCACGUAGCCUGAUGCUCAAAGAGAAGCUUUGCAUCAAGUGCUGCUCCACGACUUCUCCCAGUCAUUACCUGGAAGCUGCAUCCUUCAUUAAUCCCAUGCAUGGCAACGAGACGUCUGCUCACGGCUUCCCCCAGCGUGCCUUCCCGAUGUGCUGCUGCAGCAGGAGAGAAAGUUUUGGUGGUGCUGACGCUGGGAGGUGACAGGAGAAGAGGUGUGCUCAGCCUUUUGCACUGCACGGGAUGCAUCUGUGUGUGCACGGGGGGGCACACGGGUUGGUCAGCACAGUGUGUGUGCCCAGUGCCUUUUUCCACGCCACGCUGACGUGGAGCCUCCUCACCUCCAUCCACAUCCAUCUGUUGUUCCCCUCCGUCAGCAACUUUGCGAGAUGAUUGAUCUCAGGCUUAGGUCAUUUUUCAAGUUGCAGAUCUUGUCAAUCUGUCUGGCUCCACCUACAUGCAGUGAUUCAGCUCCUGAUGUGCUGAAAUAUUCCCCUAAGCCUUCCCACACACCACCGAGGGCUUUUUUUAUAGUCCUUCUCCAGGCUGCACCACCUCUCCCGCGCUGUGCUCAAAGCGUGUGUUCUUUGCAUGAUGUUUGCAUGAUUCCUUUUGCUCGGAGAGCAGUGCAGAAAGUCGAGUUAGAGCUCCUGAAGAGUUAGGAGAGCCACUGCAAAACACGCUCCCCACCUAAAGGCUGGAUCCUGUGUAUCACAUUUGGCUAAUGUGCUGUGAUUAAAGGAACUGGAGACAAGCGUGGGGCUUUCCCCCCCUCCCCGCCCCGUCCCUGUACCUUCAGGUAUCCUCUCUUUAGGACUUGGUCUUUGUAACAGUUAAUAUUCUCGGUAGGGUGUUGCAAGUUCUGCAUUUGCACACUUGACCUGAAAUAGAAGUGGCUGUCACAGAAUUAUGGAGGGAGUUACACUCGCGUGGCUACGGUGGUAAUAAUAACUUUGCUGUAGUUAUAUUGAUCUAUUUCCACAUCCAGAAAACGGCUUAAUGUGCUCUUACACCUCUGCUUUGCCUUCAGUACAGCGUUCUUAACUCCCUGCCUGCGUGCAGGGGGUGGCUUUGGGUGACAGCCAUGCUCUGAGGAUGCUCAGCUGAGGACGGUGCCAGCACAGUGCUGAGCCCUCUUUGCACAGCGACUGCAGACAGCAGAGGGCUGUGCUGGAGGCACAGCUGAGAGGUGUGAGACCCACAGCAGCUCUUGGGGGCAGCUCCCCAACUUGGGGCUGCUUGGCAAAUGGCUGCAGAGCAGCAGCAGAGGGAAUUGGGAGCGAGCCCUGAUAGGAAAUGGGGAAGCCGUAAGCAAGCAUUGUGCAGGUGGGCUUGGAAGCAGCAGUGCCAGCCUUCUCCUUUCAGUUGUGUUCGGGAAAGUUGGAUCUUAGAAUCACAGCAUCAUCAGGACUGGAAAAGACCUCUAAGAUGACCAAACCCACCCCACAGUGCCCACCGACUGCCCCCGGGUGCCACUCCUCCACUGUUCUUCAUCGUGGCGAUGGAGUUUUUGGUAGGCAAGUGGAGUUGUGCUAAAGAAUGCGUCUAAUUUAUGUAAUCCGUGUUCUGUUAAUGAAGCCGAGUGUUUUAAGGACUUGCUAAUUACACAGGUUAAAAAAGGAGGUAACUUAGGGUCACGAGUGAAAUUAAGAAGCGAAGGAAAGAAGAAAAAGCCUGAGCUGCCUGUGCUGAAAAUGGAACAGAGCACAGGCAUAACAUCUAGAAACCAGAUUUGCCGAAAGAAAAGCUUGAAAUAAGAGCUGGCACUUCCCUGGGUGUUGUGGGACGUGACGCAGUGACUUCCCAAAAGGGCUGAGAGCGCAGCGUGGGCAAAAGUGACAGCGUUUGGAGCUGCUGUUGCAGUUGCUGGGGUGACUUCGGGAGCCCAUGCACAGCAUUCCUUAUGGAGCUUCGGGAUGGCAUCGGUUCAGGCUGCACAGCCACAAAGGAUGGGGAGGACCUCAGAGAGCACCAACCCACCCCACUGUGUCCCCACGGGCCACAUCUGCACUGUUCUUGGCCGCCUCUGGGAGUUUUUGGGGGAGCUUUUUUAUGCCUAUCUGGAAAUAGGAGAAGCGGGGAAUGGAGAGGUUGCACCGUUCCCUUGCAAGUAAUGGAAAAGCCACUAUUUUUAGUGGUUGGAUGGGGGUGAUUCAGCUCACUGAACGAAAUAUUCGGGGAUGUGGGAGGAGGAGACGUCUCGCAGUCAGAUCUGCUUUUGCCACAUCUGCCCUCUGCAGAGAGCUGCAGCAGCUGUGAGCUGCUCCCAUCCGACCUGCAGCCCUCAGCAGCUCACAGCAUGGGAUGGGGGGGUGCUGUGGGCACAGGGCAGGUGGGGCUGAGCGCAGACUGAUGGCGAAAUGGUGGUGGGAAGGAGCAGAGCAGAGUGCAGAAGCAGCAGCUCAGAGCUCAGCACCUCCGUGUCCAAAGGUAACCGAGAGGAGAGGAGCAAGCAAGGCUUGCACGAAGCAUUCCAGCAACUGGAGAACGUCCCUCUUAGCUGCCAACCGAACGGAAUGGAAAGAAGAAGGCGGUUCCUGACGGCUCUUAUCUCGGUGGAGAAACGAUGGAGAAGUUUAAGGGGAUCGUCGCAAGGAUGGGCUGAAAGUCCCUCCCCGUGGAUCAGAGCUCGGGAGCACAAGGGCAGAGCUGGGGGUGGUGGUUUGACCCGCAGGAGUUAAUGUUUAGUUGGAUGUGUGCAGGGCAAACAGGGAGGGGGGGUCCUGGGGUGGGGGUUUCUGGGCCAGGCACGGAGGGGUCUUGCAGUGGAAAUACAAUCCCGUAGGGCUGAACGGGGGGCGGGGUGAGAGAACGGUGUGGAAAAUGGCAAAAAUAAAGCUUGAGAAUGGGGCCUGCGGACUUUGAGCAGGAUGGGGUGGGUAUGGGAGGCAACGGGUGAGCCGAGAGCUGAUCUCCGUAGCCUUAGGGUGAGUGAGUGAGUGAGUGUGCGGGAAGAGCUGGGAAUCCCCCGCAGGGCCUGGCCCAGGUGGGGCACAUGGCCGGGAGGUCAAUGCUCUGCAGGGCGCUGAUGCACAGCUGGGGGGGGGGGCUGCGGUGUAGGGGGGAAUGGGUGAACCCCCCCCCCCGGGUCUGGGGGAUGCAAACUGCUGCUGCUGGGGCUGCAGGGAGCUCUGCAACAGCCGGGGGGUGGGGAGGAGGAGACAGUGGGGGGGGUUGGAAGGGUUCUUAAUGGUCAUAGAAGCGUGGAAUCACAGCACGGCUGGGCUGGAAGGGAGCGGGGGAGCUCCCAGCGCCCUGCCCGGCCACGGGCUGCCCAGAGCCCACCCGCAGCUCCAGGGAUGGGGCACCCACCGCCCUUCGGGUGAAGGAUGUCCCCCCCAUCACCUGACCUACUUCUCCCCCAUUAGCGACAGGGCGAGGAGGAAUGGAUUUAAACCACGCUGUCCCCGUAACGCGUCUCUCUCUCUCUCUCUAUAGGUCCCGAGGCAGACCUGGGUUAGCUCUCAGCCGGCUCCAUCCCACAGCUGCCCCUCCCCCAUCCCAUUAACCCCCCCCCACGCUCCGCGCUCGCUCCCAUCCCGCUUCCCGCCAGGAUGGGGGGAGUGGGCGUGGUCG